GAUGAACGCUGGCGGCGUGCCUAAUACAUGCAAGUCGAGCGAACAGACAAGGAGCUUGCUCCUUUGACGUUAGCGGCGGACGGGUGAGUAACACGUGGGUAACCUACCUAUAAGACUGGGAUAACUUCGGGAAACCGGAGCUAAUACCGGAUAAUAUUUCGAACCGCAUGGUUCGAUAGUGAAAGAUGGUUUUGCUAUCACUUAUAGAUGGACCCGCGCCGUAUUAGCUAGUUGGUAAGGUAACGGCUUACCAAGGCGACGAUACGUAGCCGACCUGAGAGGGUGAUCGGCCACACUGGAACUGAGACACGGUCCAGACUCCUACGGGAGGCAGCAGUAGGGAAUCUUCCGCAAUGGGCGAAAGCCUGACGGAGCAACGCCGCGUGAGUGAUGAAGGUCUUCGGAUCGUAAAACUCUGUUAUUAGGGAAGAACAUACGUGUAAGUAACUAUGCACGUCUUGACGGUACCUAAUCAGAAAGCCGCGGCUAACUACGUGCCAGCAGCCGCGGUAAUACGUAGGUGGCAAGCGUUAUCCGGAAUUAUUGGGCGUAAAGCGCGCGUAGGCGGUUUUUUAAGUCUGAUGUGAAAGCCCACGGCUCAACCGUGGAGGGUCAUUGGAAACUGGAAAACUUGAGUGCAGAAGAGGAAAGUGGAAUUCCAUGUGUAGCGGUGAAAUGCGCAGAGAUAUGGAGGAACACCAGUGGCGAAGGCGACUUUCUGGUCUGUAACUGACGCUGAUGUGCGAAAGCGUGGGGAUCAAACAGGAUUAGAUACCCUGGUAGUCCACGCCGUAAACGAUGAGUGCUAAGUGUUAGGGGGUUUCCGCCCCUUAGUGCUGCAGCUAACGCAUUAAGCACUCCGCCUGGGGAGUACGACCGCAAGGUUGAAACUCAAAGGAAUUGACGGGGACCCGCACAAGCGGUGGAGCAUGUGGUUUAAUUCGAAGCAACGCGAAGAACCUUACCAAAUCUUGACAUCCUUUGACAACUCUAGAGAUAGAGCUUUCCCCUUCGGGGGACAAAGUGACAGGUGGUGCAUGGUUGUCGUCAGCUCGUGUCGUGAGAUGUUGGGUUAAGUCCCGCAACGAGCGCAACCCUUAAGCUUAGUUGCCAUCAUUAAGUUGGGCACUCUAAGUUGACUGCCGGUGACAAACCGGAGGAAGGUGGGGAUGACGUCAAAUCAUCAUGCCCCUUAUGAUUUGGGCUACACACGUGCUACAAUGGACAAUACAAAGGGCAGCGAAACCGCGAGGUCAAGCAAAUCCCAUAAAGUUGUUCUCAGUUCGGAUUGUAGUCUGCAACUCGACUACAUGAAGCUGGAAUCGCUAGUAAUCGUAGAUCAGCAUGCUACGGUGAAUACGUUCCCGGGUCU
rnacentral:rRNA from 1 species